CGGCAGCGUGGCGUGUGUGUUUGUGGUUUCUCUCAAUGUGUAUCAACCCUGGGGCAGCAGGUAGCCUAUUGGUUAGAGCGUUCGGCCAGUAACCGAAAGGUUUCUAGAUUGAAUAACCAAGCUGACAAGGUGUCUGCCCCUCCAUGGUGUCUGUGAACUUGUCCGGGAACCUGGCGGUGACCUAGGUGGUACUCCAAAGCCUCCUCUCCACCUAGCGACCUUUGACCUAUCUCAACCUCCAAGGCACAGUAGGCCUAUAGUAGUCAUCUCUCGAGGAUCAGAUGAUGACACGGGUACCAGAAGGGUCAGAAAGACAUGGAAGACCAGCUUCGCCACUCUGUUUUAGCUGCUUCCAGUUCCUCCUUAGGACGGCGAUAUUCACCAGCCUGUGCCCAGGGUCCCUUGCCCUCCAAUAUCUCCUCCCAUGUCCAUUCCUCCAGAAAGCGCUGCUCCUCCUUACCACGCUGCUUGGUCC